ACUUCAUAUUGUACAAGGUAGGUUGAAAAGCAAACAGAUUUAUGUUCGAUGGUAGUUUUGUGAUGAUUUGAGGUCAAUAAACAAUAAAAAUAUUUCAGAAAAUCUGUUGAAAAAAAAGGGUUUUUUUAAGGGACGCUGAAGAUAAGUCAUAUAUUUAAUUUUAUAUAUAUAUAUAAAAAAAAAGAACACCAUAUACCUAAAUGUACUUUUCUUGAUAACAUUCUUGAACAGUAAGUUAUGUUUGCGUCAAACCGUGUCCAUGUUUGGUGCGUUGAAGUACGUCUCUUAUUUUGGUGUUGAUUGUGUGAUGGUUGUUCUUUAUCUAUUUUAAGCUGGUAUGUUUUAAAACAUCAGACAUGUAAAUCAGUAUUUCUUUGUAAUACAUACAGCACUGCAGACUUGUUUGGCCCGGUAUAAAUUUCAUAAAUUACACAUUGCAUGGAGGUCGUCUAGAUCUGGAGUAUCGAUAUAAUUAAAUGCUCUAUAGUGUUUUUAAUGAUCUUUAGUAUGUGUUUAACUGUAUUAUGUAAUCUUCCACUGACUGAAACAUAAAAGGAACUGUAAAUUUACAGCAAAACCUAUUAAUACUUUGAGUUGACAGUCUUUAGUUUUUUUGUAAUGUUUUGUAGAAUGAUUGUCUUUCGUUUUAUUUUAUUUUGUUAUUUGGCAUCAUUUUGUAGAGGUUUCUAUCAGUAUUGAGUUUUGAUUCCUUUUGAUAUCAUUUGGCUUUUUAUAAUUUUAUCAGCUCGUUGUAUCUUUUACUGUAACAGAUGCAAAAACUUGGAUAUGUCAGUUGGUGUCGAACUUGCUUUAUUAAGGUUCUAUUUUGUCAUUUAUAGCUAAUGAUAGAAAGUUAGUUAUCUUCAAAGUGUUUUUAAAACUUUUCUUAAGUACUCGAAAGCCCUGUGUUGUAGAUCAUAUCCAAAUUUUGUAGGUCCUUUUUUUAGAAUUUGUCUUUUUGGUAGACUGUCGUUGUAAGAGUCUUGUCAUGCCAUGCACGGUACGCUACAUAAUUUUUUUUAUAAACUUUUACGCGCAUACAUACACUUAGUCUUAUUCUUACUUAUAAAUGAAACAAACAAGUUGAACAUCCUUUUUCUAUUGUAUAAUAGCAAACGUUACAUUAAAGGCAAUUCACAAAAAAAUUCAUAAAUUACUUUUACUGGACAAAACAAUUUAUUAUAGACACUAAUAAACACUAUGUAUAUAACAAUGUCUGUUUUAUUACAGAUGAAUACAUUGACAUUUGGCCUGAUUCUAUUGGUAGUAGUAGUGACUGUUCAGUCUAGGAUUCCAGGAAUAAGUAAUUGUAUAUUAUUACAUAUGCAAAGUGAUGUGAAAUAUGUAUAUAUGUAUUGGUUCCCAUGAUGAUCGUGGCUAUUGAAUCUAGUCCAGCAGAAUGAUAUACGUCAUACGCACAUUUCGUCUAUAAAAGAAUCAUCAGUGACGUUCGAAUCAAAUUAAUAGAAUGAAUGAAAAUUGACAUAGAAAAAAAUAUCCCUAUUUUCGGCGUCAAGAGCUUUAAAAGAUAAGUGAUGACACCAUUUCAAACACAUUUAAAAGCCAAAAGAUUAUAGUAACCUUAAAAAAAUCUUUACUUAUAAUUUAAUUCUAUCUAUUUUCUCCAAACGAGUAAAUUGACAAGUCAAGGUAAAAAAAAAUCAAACUAAGUGAGUCACGGAAAUUUCAAAAGAAGCAAAACCGGAUUUGUUAAAUGUGUUAGCGUAUCCUGUUACGCAUUCAUAACCCGAACGGCAAAUUCUCUUUCAGUAAAAAUGACACAAUCAAUGACAUUACAGAUAAGAUGUCUUUACUGGAAUCUUGAUAUCUAGUCGGCGAAAAUAUGUCGUCAGUGGUUCGAGACAUCGACACAUUGUGUCGAUCGAGCAACAUUUACCAUUUGUUGGGUGACCGUUAAAUAAAAAAAAUCGAAUUCAGUGGUUCAUCUUUAUUACUCUGUAAAGAACAUGCACUUAACUUUUUAUAAGGGCUUUAUAGUAUAAACAUAAACGAGUAUAACGCAUUUUCAGAGGUAUAUGUAAACGCAAAACAAUAGGUAUGUUCAUGUUACUGUAGAAAAUGAAAAGUUAAAAUCAUUAUUAUUUUUUAUUUCUUUCUAUGUGACGUUUACAUUUUAUGACGUCAAACAUAUAUAUAUAUAUAUAUUUAUAAUAAUAUUUGUUCAAUAGUAAAUGGUUGUACCGGGUGCAGCGUAAAAGGGGUAUGCUAUUUCCCCAAUCAAGAGUGGAAACAAGGAUGUUGGACGAAGAAAUGUUCCGUUUAUUCCAACGGCCCCGUACAAGGAUGGAAAACACUAAUUGUAAAAACCCGUACGUAUAUUUUUUUUUAAAUCGAAUAAGAUUAGAUUGACAGAUUGUUAUUACUUUUAUACAUAUAUUUGAUUUGAACAUUGCAUUGUUUUCUUAUUGUGCCUUAAUGGUGUUUUGUCAAAUCUGCUAAAUCCAUGUUUUGAAACUAUCAAAAAUACUUUUAUUGUUUCGUACGUAAAUAUGGGAUAACAUUUGUUAAUGUUUAAACUGAGUAGUCUCGGCAUUUAAGACAUGGACAUAUUUCUAUUUUUGUCAGUAUAACAAGUGAAAUACCACCAAAUCAUAGUACGUCACAUCAGGUUGCAUACGAAAAUAGGUCGAAAAAAAUAUUCCUUUGAGUUUGACAGUUGUAGGUAAUAAAUCCUACAUUUCAAUGCAGUAAAACAUUUCUGGAUUAUUAACAUAUAUCUUGAGUAUUUCAAAGCCCCCUUAUUUUUUUUAUUUGAGGUUUCUAUUUGGGAUAUUUUGGAAACUUGAGCUAGUAGAUAGAUUAGGAAGAUGUGGUGUGAGUGCCAAUGAGACAACUCUCCAUCCAAUAACAAUUUAAAAGUAAACAUUAAUAGGUCAAUGUAACGGCCUACAACACGGGCCUUGGCUCACACCGAACAACAGCUAUAAAGGGCCCCCAAAUUACUAGUGUAAAACCAUUCAACGGGAAAACCAACGGUACUAAUCUAUAUAAAAAAAAUGGUUACUAAAGCUAAAGUUUCUCUAUUUCAAACAACGAUAAAGUCUGCACAUUAUUUUGAAAAGUUGAAAUUUAACUAAGACUAAUAGGGGACAAUAAAUUAUAGUGGUAUUACGUCUUAUAUUAUAUAACAGCCAGUCAAUAUAUUCUUUGAGGGAACCAAGCUUUUAACGUAGUACACAAGACUAAACAGGAUAAAACAAAAAUAUUGGAUAAAUAUAAUAGAUACGUAACGCUCAAUACAAAGCAAAAAUAUAAACUAGGUGAGUCUGAUGCGUAGAUAUACUAAAUAUAGUUAUAUAUCCUUGACUAUCAAAAGCAUAUUGAAAUAAAAUCAAAUUCGAAUUGCCCAUUGUAAGUUCAUAUGAUAAUUGUAUGUUUCUCUUGUAGAGUGUCCGGAUACAUAUGGUAGAUGUAUAGAUCCAGGUCAAAAGAGUUCUACAGGGUGUACAUGUAAUGUGGUCGGAAUGCA
rnacentral:lncRNA from 1 species